CCACCCUCAGCUUCCAUGGUCUACAUGGAUGACCUUCUCAGUUGGCCAGUUGUUACCGCUUCCUGUGCCUGAAUGUCAGACCACCAGGAAGCUUCUAAGGCGACCACCUCCGAGCCUGGAGGGACAGAGACAACACCCACGCCCACACAGUAAAAUGUGAGGAAGGGGCGACUUCAUCGUUCCAUCAGUCGUCGACUUCUUCAGCAGAAAAAGGCAAAGCAGAAGAGCCUCCCUCCCCCAAAAAGAACAGGAGCCAUAAACAAAAAGCCUUGCCACGUCUGGCUUUGAUGAAAUUAUCGGCAUCGUAAUACAGUUAACACCCACCAUAAUAGCAGCUAUCACCCAAGGGCCCAUGACAUCCCCGAAGUCGUGUCCGAUUCUGUCUGUCUAAGUAUCACCUCAUUUAAAUGUCAGGACCUUGGGUCCUCUCUUUCUGCUGUAGCAGGUGAAGAGCUUGACGCUCAGAGGCCACUGCUAGCAAGUGCGAAGCUGCAAUUUGAACAGAGGUUUGCCUCCACCUAGGUUGCAUGCUUUUCCCAAAGACCAACUGUGGAAUUUGUGCAUGAAAAUAAGAGAUUCCUGCAUCUUUUAAAAUUCCACCGCUGCCUUCACAUGCUUCACGUUAGAGCAGUUCGAUGAGUUUUCAUACUUACACAUUUAAAACACACACUCUGCACCAAAGUUAUUGUCGUGAAAUUAUCAAGAGCGCAUCCAAGAAUUGGGAGCCAAAUAAGGUAACCACUGGCCUUGUUGUUAUUGUUAUCUUUGUUUUAUGGAGGGGGUGUGUGUGUGUCUUUGUGUGUGUGUUACCCACAAUAUUAAGAGAACGCAAUUCUUGAGAUUGAUGAUUAUUUUCCACUUAUCUCCAGGGUUAAAUAAAGAAGAAAGUCAUCAAAAUACAUCAUUUAUACGGUGAGCUAGCUUAUGCCCUGUCUGAUGAAAGACAAAUUGGGAAACAUUUGCAGUGUUGGAUGCAGGCAUCAAUUUUGGGUGCUAUCUAUUAGAACUGCAUGUAACCUUAUUAUGCUGUUAUCCAAAUAAAAGAUGGAUAUUGAGAGGAAGAACGAGAGGCCAAGCAUUGCUGGUUCUUUACCUAAGUUCAUCCUGGAAGAAGGCCCCGUUCUGGUGCCAUAUCUAAUUACCACCACCUAAUUUAGUUCAUGUUUAUGUAAUUAUUUGUCUUAUUUCUGAAAGAGAUUUACCAGUAAAAUGACUAAUUUUUAAGAAGAAACCCAAUAUAUUUCAGAGACUCUGCCAAUGUGUAAUGUCUUCUAACACUGGCCAAAAAUAGCAAUGGACUAAUUUUGAAAUAACUGUUUUCUCUGCAAAAUCCUCGAUGCUGUUCUCAUUUGCCCUCCGUUCUUGAAACCCCCACCUCCAAACUCCCACCCCGGAAAGAAAGAGAAACAGAUUACAGUAAAUUUGGCAAGGAAUUCUAUGUGCAUCAUUUUCUUAGAAGUCACGUGCUUUGGAUUUCCUCUUGUUUAUGAUAUAUUAAAAUACCUUCCAGAUGUUUUUAAUUAUAAAAAAGUUCUCAAGAAAACAGAGUAAUCCAUAAUAAAAUUUCCUCUUUUUUUUUUAAUGGCCAAUAAAUUGGUAUAUUUCAGCUUAUCAAACUGCCCCAUACUUCUGAGGAUGACCUCUGUGAAGAAGGGCAGGCAUCGAGCAGGACACAGCUCGAUUUGGGCAGAUACAGAAUUUUACCGAGAACACUUUCAGUUCCUGUUUCCAAUUGAGGCUGCUCCCUGCCUGGGGCCUUGCCUAAUGUAAAAGCCCAUUGGCUGGAACUGCUUAAAUGUCCCACACAAAUAUAAACACCUCCGCAGAGUUGGGAGGAUGAAAGGAGCUGCUUAUUGAUAUUGUAUAUGCUCAGGUUUGGAUGUGGGACACAGGAAAGACAGCACCGAGCUGCUGGUACGUGAUGCAAAAGCUGGGCUGCAUGAAGCGGUUUCAUUUACUGAGGUUGGAUGUGUGCCCAGAUUGCCAUAGGAGAAUUCAGGAAAACAGUAAGGAGAACCUCAGAACUGGUUGGGGGGAACAGCCACAGGGGGCAGAAGAAUAAAUACAUCUGAAGACUGUGCUUCCAGGAAUGAAAGGACUAGCCUCCGGGGAACAGUCAGGAGCCCCCCACACCCCCACCGGCCCUCUCCGUUUCUACUUGAGGUUAUCUGUGUGCUCAUCCUAAUUCUGAUUCAGAGUAACUGUAAGACUGUAAUUUGGCUGCAAGAGGAGAGAGAGGGCGAGGCAGGAAGAAGCCUUAGCCUGCCUUGCCUGGCGGUUUGUAAGCUUAGCAAGGAGAGCAGACCUCGGGUCCCGUUAAAGAGAGAAGGACUGCCCGUGACUGCGGCGCAGGAAUUCUCUGGACUCUUCUAGCCAGAAGACGCACCAGCUGAGAAGGCUUCAACUGAAGAUCACCGUUGCUUAGAUGUGGGAGCCUGCUCCGAGCAUCCAGGCUUUCAUCUGCAGGAGAUCAAGUGGAGCCGUCGAAGAAAGAACAACUCCCAGCCCCUCCUUGUGCCAGUUCAAACCGAGACCCACGGGGGGACAGAUGUCCCAGCGCGAUCUGCUCACAAGAUGAGCGGUGGGGCCCACAGCCCCAGCUCGUGGUCCUCGCCCUCUAAGACUUUAUCGUUCCAAGUACCGUCUGCUCAGAAAUAACCCGAAUGCAGCCCCAGCCUCCUCUUUUCUUGCCUCCUCCCAUCCUCUCCACCUCGCUCUCGCCUCCUGGGCACUGGCUGGCUUUCCGCUCAAGGAACAGGGCAGGCGAGCCCUGUUCUCUCUAGGCUCCCUUUGCCCGUGUGUCCUGCCUCACUGCAGCGCCCUGCGGGGCUCACGGUCUUCCUUCCUCAGUGUCCGUAAAAGUGGGACUUGAUCCACGCGGGCUUCCCAGGGCACCUUCUGCAGGACAGCUCUGCCCCCACCCCACCUCCGUCUUUUUGAUCCUGUUUCAUCGUCUGUAGAUUCUUAUCUCCACCAGAUAGACUGGGUAAUUUUAGACUCUUUCCUUGCUUCUGCCCCUUGAAUGUGACCUUUCUGAAAGCAGAGUCUUGAUCCAUUUUGUUUGUACCCAUCUCCCAAGCCUAGACUAGUCGCUGGCUCUUAGUAGGUGUGCAAUGAAUAUUUGUCGACUAUAUGAAUUUGAGGAAAAGCACAAAAUGCCCUUUUGGACUGAAGAUGAAAGACACAGCGGCUCCAGUUGGCAGAAUCACGGCGGCUUUGGGAAGAUGAUGUGAAUUUACCAAGUGCCCUGGUCAGUGGUGGUGAAAGGUUGUAGCAGAUGACUCAUAAUUAAAUAUCUUUCACACACUGGGUUUUUGCACGUGCACGCACACAGAUGCACAAGCCAUUCGGCUAGUUUCUAAACUAGAGGACACCCCGUUAAAUUUGAAGUUUAGAUACACAAUGAAUAUCUUUAUUAUAACUAGGUCUCAUGCCAUAUUUAGGGAAACUUAUAGCAAUUAUUUCUUUAUUGUUUAUCUGAAUUUAAAUUUAACUGGGCACCCUAUAUUUUAUCUAGCAAGCUUAUGUAUAGGGAACAACAUAAUGAGAGGUAUGGGUGAUUUUUCAGAGCUCAGAAUUUACAUAAUUAAUGUAGGAAAGACAAAGCAGGGAAUGGCAAAAGCUAGAAUUCAUUCACAUUCUCCGCCCGCUGCAGCUCUGGGGCAGAUUCAGGGUAUUUAUCUUAUAGCCACACUCCCAGAUGAGGUUUUGUGUUUUUUCCCAUUUUAGAAUCUCCCUUAACUGGACUCUCUUACAGUUUUUGAGAAUUCUAAGAUGUAUUUAUUUUAAUGUUGCUUUUUUGUUCCCCAUACUGUCUCCAGAAUUUCAUAGAGGACCUUGUCCGAAAUGACUCACAGUCUAUGGUGGUGGCUAUUUGGCUUUCUUGAUAUCUUUUUAUCAAAUAUAACUCUCAAUUCCACGCUCUUUAUUUGGGACACAUUUCUUUAGUGCUAAUUCUUAGCAUUAAUGCUGACCAAUGAUGGGAAUCCCUUUUAAUAGAUUGUAAUUUUAAAAUUACAGUUAUGUUGAAAUUGAAAUAACCACAAGAUCGUUGCCAAAACGACUCACGAAAAGCUUAUUUCAGAAAAACAGAAGCAUGACUGAAAAUGAUAUGGACAAAAGAAGAAUAUUUCUGUUUAGCAGCUAAAGAGAUGCUUUUGUAAGUUUAAAACAUAAAACUUUGAGGUUGUAAGAUUCUUGAUGGCUUUUUAAAGUUAUAAAUUAAUUUUUAAAAAAUUAUUUCAAAUUUCGUGCAUAUAGAGAGGAAUUAUGAAUAUUUCAAGUUGCUUGCUUUAAAUAUUCGCAUGAAAUGCAAUGGCCUUGAGUGGGACUCUCUGACCGCCAAGGCUUAGAAGUACUUUGGUAGGUCAUACGACCGACGGAAGUCAGACAAUUACCAGCAAAUGUAUUCGGUGUGCUGUCAAGUUUUAAAACCCAGUAUUCAAAGAAGGGAGAGACCAUCGGGACUGGGACAGUUGGAAAAGCUUCGCCGAGAAAGGGGGGGCUCAAUGUCUGCCGUGGAGGGUGGACUGCGGGCGUUUUCUCCGAGAGAAGGGUGACCGUAAGGCCAGGAAGAAGCAGUCUGCACGCAACUUCGGAGAGGAAAUAAGAAUAAGAGGCUGUACAAGAGCCAGAGAUGAUGGAGGACACAAGGAAAAAGUAGAACUGCUUCUGUUCGGAAUUUCUGGGCCGUAAUCCUAGACGAGAAGCACAGACUCUAGACCUAAGGUCACUGGCUGCAGAGCUGUCAUACAUGCCACCACGGGAGUCACGUUCAUUGCAAAGUCGGCUCCGCAAAGCUGGCUCCGAACUUGGGUGUACCUCUCCCAGCCGAAGAGACCGCAGGAACUGGCAUUUUCCUUCUUCCAGCGCUCCUUUAAGGAAAUCAUCAUCCUUCUCAGAUGUUUGAGCUUGUGGGGUGACUUCGACUCAGAAUGAAGACCCGCAGACUCCUGUCUGUGGCUACAAAUGGAUAUUUAGGUCUCUGAGAAUUUCAAGUGAUUGGCCGCUUUGAGACCAGAAGGUGAGAGACGAGCCUCAUCCUGCGUUUUGGCCACAGGCGGGUCGAAUCGGGCACUAAGAUGCCUUUCCAAGCAUUAGUCUCCUUAAGACCAGGCACACUGUUCAGAGGGCUGCCCCUUCCUGGCCAUUGUCCCCCACGAAAGAGGAAGGUAUUUGGGGAAGAUGUAUUUUGCCAGCUCGUCCAUCGGAGAAUAUUUGUUCACUAAUGUAUUUCGUGAACACUGUACAAGUUACCCGGGACAGUUCCUUCUGAUCAUGUACCGCCCAGAUUUACACUCCGUGACUUCGUAGAAGAUGCAGCUCUCAUCCCCGGUGUGAGCAGUUGUGCGGCGGCGGCGAUUUGCAGAAUGAAGCUCUUCUUUGCAGACACUGUAAUUAGCACUCGUCUUAUUUAUACAUCUCCCUCACCAUGGUGUGUCCCCUUUAAAAAUAUUUUUAUUUAAAAUGGCAUGCAAGGAAAUAGCUCGGCACGCGUAGGGGAGAAAAAAAAAGAAGAAACAACAAACUGCUGAUAAAUCCAUCUGUUGAGAAACCGCAGUACACAAAUUAAAAGAGUAAGUUAACAUCGUA